UGGCCGCCGGUGCCGACGCCCCGGCCAGGCCAGGCGCAGGCCGCCAGCGCUCCCGCUUCCGGCUCCGAGCGGGCGGGGCGAGAGAGCAUGCGCAGUGGGGUGCGCCGCCAGCCGCCGCUCCCGUCCGGACCAUGAGGAAGUCCACCUCGGGUGUUGCACAAGGCAUUGCCAUCUCUUCAAAACACAUAUCUGAAGUGUUUAGGCUUCUCAUCUCAAUCCAAAACUGUGCAUUUGGUUCCAGUUUGAUGAGAAGAAACUGAAUUGCCAAUGAAAUGUUACCUUUACCCCAGUGGGGAGAUUGCUGACUGGACUCUGGGUGCUGGAGAAGUUUAAGGUCUGAGGACCCAGGUAGGAGGGAAUAUGCCCGAGACAGUGGUCACCGUUAUAACCUCACCAGGAUCCUGCACAUUCAUUACUAUACAGGUGUUACAUGCGCAAAAAUAAUUCAAGAAUACAGACAAUGCAGACUGUUGGAGAGCCAAUCUGAAAUCAAUUAAAAGGAGUGAACAUUUGUUAAUAACAUGAGUACAAGCAGAUGGAAAGGGAACUGUACCGAACAAAUCUCCAAAAAUAGAAACAAUCUACUGGAGAAAGAGAAACAUGCCGUGUCCAAAAAUCUGUUUCCAGCUUAAAGGUUAUCUUUUUUAUGGAGUGAGGAUUUUCACAUGACCCAUUUCUUCUUUUUAUUUUUGCAAGACUAAGGUUUCUCCAGGCCUCCAGCCUGUUGCCUUCAGUGAGCAUCGCAGACUGGUUCCAGAGUUAUCUUCCUGAAAAUCAAAGUUGACCAUGUCGCCCCGUGCAUAUAAGUUUCUGAUGCUAUAGUGACUACAGACUGCAUUCCAAACCCUACAGCCGAGACCCCCACAAUCUGCCUCCCACCUAUUUUUCCAGCUUUAUUUCCCACACUCCAUAAAUUGUACUUCCUACUUAAGCUGCUCUAAACUCUCAGUUUUCUGUGUGGCCAGAACCUUGUCCCAGCUACAGACCUUUACUCCUGUUUCCUCUGCCUUUCUCCCAACAGCGGCUCAUCCCACAAGCUCAUACGUCACCUUCUUUUCAAAACUUUUUUGAGUCUCUAAGCAGACUUAAUUAUUCAUCUUCUCACAGAAUGUACUGCAUUAAAAUGCAGGUCAUCUAUUUAUUCAUUUAUCUCCUCCAGGAGGCUCUGUGUUAGGGACCUCAUUCAUUUUUAGCACACAAAAUCCCCUGAACAUAGUAGUAUACUCAGCACAGAACAGGUAUGCAAUGUGUGGAGGAGUCUCUUUUUUAUAUUGGAUUUGAUGAACCAAGGUUCCCUAUUUCGCAAAAUGUAAACAGUAAUAGAACCUACCUCAUAAAGGUGUUUUAGGAGUUUUGAAGUUUAUGUAAGGUAAUACAUGCACCUAGCACAAAGAACAGUGCUUGGUACGUAAGUGCACAAUAAAUAUUUGCUCUUUUAAAAAUUUGUAUUGCAAUGUGAGUAAUGUUACUGUUACACUUUAAAUCAUUAUAACGUAUUUUUAAUCAUCUGAAAAGUUAACAUCAAUUUUUAAGACUUAGAAUGGAAUCUGUCCCAUCACAGAAAAUGUUGGUGUGUUCAACAAAAAAAGAAAAGCAUUAAAAAGAGGAGGCAACCCCAUUCUGUUUCUCUCUUGGUGACAAAGUACUGGAAUCUGUGAUUUUUUGAAGAUUCUAAAUAUAGAGCACUGAUGACCCAAAAGCUCUUCUCAAAUUUCAUUUUUUUUUCUAAUAGCUUCUGAAAAAACAUUCCCAGGAGUAUCAACUCUUAGUGUCAACUUAGGUAGUUUGUGCAAUUUACAGUAGUGUAUUGCAUUAUAUGACAUUGACUUUAAUCUCACAAGAGCCUAUUCAUGUCUGGUCCGCUUUGGUCAUGAUAGAUGUAUUAUCCAAUUACUCAUUUAGUCUCUUUGCUAAUAUGGAAAUAAGCAAUUUAAUUCAUUGGUUAAGUUACUAAACCAGACAUCAUUGGGUCUCUGUUCAUUCUAAGAUGCAUGAGUCCGAACAAUAUUUUGACAUGUACUUCUUUCUAUAACUUAGAAAUUUUGCUGUUGCUGAAUUGACACUGAUGAAUUUUUUAAGCACGGUUAUUAAAUUCCCUUAAGGUUUUUAAUAAAAUUUCUCAAUAAAUUCAUCCUAA